rnacentral:rRNA from 1 species
AGGAUGAACGCUGGCGGUAUGCCUAACACAUGCAAGUCGAACGGGUGUCUUCGGACAUUAGUGGCGGACGGGUGAGUAACGCGUGAGAAUCUGCCUUCAGGAUGGGGACAACAGUUGGAAACGACUGCUAAUACCCGAUAUGACGAAAGUUGAAAGAUUUAUCGCCUGGAGAUGAGCUCGCGUCAGAUUAGCUAGUUGGUGUGGUAAUGGCGCACCAAGGCGACGAUCUGUAGCUGGUCUGAGAGGAUGAGCAGCCACACUGGGACUGAGACACGGCCCAGACUCCUACGGGAGGCAGCAGUGGGGAAUUUUCCGCAAUGGGCGCAAGCCUGACGGAGCAAUACCGCGUGAGGGAGAAGGCUCUUGGGUCGUAAACCUCUUUUCUCAGGGAAGAACAAAAUGACGGUACCUGAGGAAUCAGCAUCGGCUAACUCCGUGCCAGCAGCCGC